CACAGUGAAAUAGCAAGUGUACGCGUUACUCACACACACUUGUGUAAUGAAGCCCUUUAUUAGUUGUCCCUAAUACAUGGAAGAGUAAGAACAGAACAAAUGCAAAUUGAAAAAAAGCGAUAGCUCGGGCUCUGCUCUGUUUCGAUUGCAGGAUCAUGACGGUUCAAGGGUUUGCGUCGCCGUAACCGCUUCCAUUGCCUCCGCCACCGCCGGUUCCACCAUUUUUACCACCGCCCUCGCCGCCACCGUUGCCCGAAGCAUUUGCAUUUGUAUAGGAUGCAUCGCCGUCGUUGUUCGCCUCACUCGAGCCAGAUCCGGUGCCGCCACCUGUCCCAAAGCCACUAGACUCUGCAGGGCAGUCAUCAUCGUCGUCCGCGGCCUCUCCACCACCGCCGCCACCGCCGGAACCCGCUGCGGUUGUACUCCCACCAUCACCACCAUAAGAUGACGAUCCUUGGCUCAUCUGGCCAGAGCUUGCGCCGCUGCCGGACCCAGCGCCAUACCCACUACCAUUAUACCCUGACCAACCACCCCCGCCUCCACCGCCUCCAGCACUUGCAUGACUACCUCCAUUUCCACUCUGAGCAGUUCCCUGGCCAUUCCCGCUUCCGCCGCCGCCGCCGUUCACCGCUCCUCCACCCUCUCCCCCUCCAGUGCCUUCUCCCUGGGAACUAGAGUAUCUAGCUACCCUACCAGCGCUGGCUAACCCAAUGCUAAAGAGGACAACCAGGCUAAGCGAUAUGAGCUUAGUGCAAGACAUUGUGAAUUAGUGUGUGGGAUGGUGCUAAGCAAGAGAUCGCUUGGCCAUUUAUAGAGCUAAGUAGAAGCAGCCACAUGCAGUUAGCUAGUGGUGAUUUAUCUUAAUGGCAUCCACAUUGCUAUGCUCGGACGAGACAUGUGGAUCCGUGGACUUUCAUGCAGCAACUAGGACAGGAGAUGUGAUCCGAUGAGAUCUAUGGAUCCAUGGACUUUCAUGCAGCAACUGGAGCUUCUAUAAUCGAGGGCAUCGAGAAUUUGGAUCUUGCUUAGUUCGUGCCUGCCAGGCGACGACUUAGGACUUCCUCACGUGAUGAUAGAUCACAUAGAUCAAUCUAGGUGAUCACAGGGAAUCCUUUGACAAUGUGCACUUAAUGCCACUUAACCAUUAUUAGCGAUGGACACUGCGCCGCAAAAACAGGGCAAAAAUAUAUGUAGAUCAUAGUACUUAUUUGUACCUAAGGCAUGUGUUACUCCUAAUUAGCAAAAGAAAUAUGACAAACAUGAGGAUUUCGAUAGUGAUUCGCCUAAAUAUAAAGAUUACUAAACUGGUGCUCCUACGUACUACUCCAUCCGUUGCUAGAUAUAAGACGUUUUGAUACUACAUUUUAAACUACCGAAACGUCUUAUAUUUUGAAAUGGAGGGAGUAGUAGUUCCUAAAAGCACAUGAGCUGGCUUGGCACGUGGAAAAUGGAGCUAGUGCUCUGACUCGUUCUUCGCCGUCGGUGCAUGUAGUUUGAGAGAAAGGCUUCUACUUCUAGCUAGCGUAGCUACCAGGAGAGUAGAGUUAAUCUUUGGUUAAAGGACGAAGGAGAGUGUUGACUUAGAUUAAUUGCCAGAUCUAACUAGCAAGGCAUCUUAGUUGACGUGAUCCAAUCUUUAAUGGUUUAGUAUCAACAAUAUUGUAACUAAUGGUAGCUCUUUUUCCAAUUCACUUCGAUAGCAUUGUAGUUCUGACUUGUGAAACGCACAUGGCCUCGAAAUAAGCAUCUUUGAACUAGUCUCGUACUGAUUAUUACUCUUAUUACAAACAAGCAUCUUUGAACUAGUCUCUAGUACUUGUAACAGGAAAUCUGUUGACAUUAAUGUAUGGGGGAAAGCUAUAUUACACACAUCCGGAUUUUAGCUAUAGAUCCGCACUAUUUGGA
rnacentral:lncRNA from 1 species